rnacentral:lncRNA from 1 species
CUCACAGGUCAUAGCACCUGGGAAGAUGCAUGCUGCCAGCUUCCCAGCACCUGCCCUCAGCAUUUGGACUCCACGGCUUGUUCACAAAAGCCCAAGAACUGGUCCCGGAAAGGAGGAUCUUUGCUGAAAAGCCGGGGAAGGAGAAAAGACAGAGAAGUCCAACCAGAAAGGCUACCCUCCACCAUGUCUAAUUUGUGUACACAUCCCCAUUUUACAGAAGAAAUUCUUCUUGUAAGAAAAUGGAAACAUUAUGAUAAUAAGCACUCUGUGCUGGGUGAUGACGCCAGGAGAAAGGCAGUGAAACCCAGUGUCACAGCGCAUGAGUGUUACUCUCAGAUCUCAUGUUUCCUGCACAGUUUCACCUUCUGAAUUUGUUCUCACCAAAACAAGUCAACAGUGAAGGUAGGUCAGGAAAAGAUACAUAUUAAGGAACAUAAUGCGAGUUACUGAAAAGGUUCCAAUUGCGUAAGACAAGCGUGGGGCCCAGCUCUUUCAGGGGCUUGCUGACCUCUGUCUCAAUCUAGUUGCCUUACAACCACAGCAUUUCGGUUCACAGUGUGGGCAGUAGAGUAAGCAGGGACUUAGCAAACAUUCACUGUUGCUGCCCUGUGGUGACCUCUGUGAUGUCAUUUAAUCUCCAGCUCCUAAAAUGCAUAUAAAAAUUUUUGCUGCUUUCCCACUUUCCAGGCAUGUGGCAAUACGGCUCUUCCUGCCACCUGUGGAAACGCCUGUAGAAAUGAUGUUGGAGGCACUGUGAAAUGCUCUUAUAGCAUUCCAUUCCUGUUGUAUGUGCCUGCUAAGACCACAGGGUCUGAUGGUAUACGUGCCCGGAGAGAAAUACGAAAGCCGUGACAAAGCGUCCUGACGGCAAUAUCUAACGGCAUGGUCACCCACAGUGUGCAGUGGAAAAUGGGACCAAGUUUCCCGCUGAUGCAAAAAGAAAAACAAAACCAAUCUCUCUUUUUGUUUCAGAGUAGAUCAUCUCAGUUCUCUGCCUGACUUCUCCUGGGUAACUUCUGGAAGCAAGAGUCUCGUUCAUCCCUCUCGUCUCCCCAACCUCGAGGGUACUAAUAUAUAAUUGUCCAUUUUGAGAAAAAAGUCCAUGAGCAUUUUGACAUUGUGCACAAAUGCGGCAGGUGGGAUGGUGACCAGCUUCUUCAACAGUACCUAAAACAAACGAACCAUUUCACUCUUCUUGAAAGUCAGCAAAGAUCAGAAGAGUUAUGGGCGUCAUUAGCUCAUUUACAGACUCUACGCUGACACCAACAAGCAAUAUGAUUAGAUCAAAAUGACCGUAAAGUCUCUUAGCUGAAGGGGGUUUCCAAAUAUAAGAAUCCCAAUCACCUGCUAAGCCUUUAUUCUCCCCUUU